rnacentral:lncRNA from 1 species
GGCGCCAUUCAGAGAUCUGGCUCGAGGGCGCGCGCGGGUGAGCGUCGGGCCGACGCUGGAGAGGAGCGGGUCCUCGGGCGGUGGAGAGAGGCAGGUCUGAAUCUCUGUGGUCAGGGGCUGAUAGAAAUUUCAGGGGAGCCAGAGCCUGAGAGGCAGACCUUCCUGGAGCUAGAACCUGGCAGAGGCAGCACAGCAGAGAAGCUGAGAAACCCAGCCUUUGAAGGAAAUGAAGAAGAGGAGGGACCCUGUCAGUGAAGGAGCACAGACUGCAUGGAGACUGUCCAAGGGCAUGCGGGACCUUCUGACCUGCCCAGUCUGUGGAGGCUUCUUCAAUGAUCCUGUAACAGAGCAUUCUGGUGACACCUUCUGCCGGGAUUGUCUUCCUCAAAAAUCCCAGCCGCCAUACCUACGUACCAACUGGAAGAUGCAGAACAUGGUACAGCUGGCCAAGCAGCUGAUGCCAUGCCUUGAGGAGCCCCAGUCCAUCCGAGAGGGGUGGUGUGCCAAGCACCAGGAAAACUUGAGCUUUUUCUGUAGAGAAGACAAUGAGAAAAUCUGCCAGGUGUGCAGCUACUCCAUCCUUCACGAGGGCCAUACCCUGACCCAGCUGCAAGAUGUGGACACAAAAGAAGAGGUCCAUGCUCUGAAACGAUCUCUGUCCCUGUUGGAUCUCCCCAGGUUCCUGGCAGGCAGAGGCGUGCAGGAACCUUUGGGUGCUCAGCACCCUAAGCCAGUGCUUGGCACUUAGAAAGGUAUUCAUCAGCGCUCUUUGAAUGGAGUUACUCUUAUCUCCCCACCCCCCCUGGUGCUUCUGAAGAAGAGGGCAAGAUGGCCUCCACAUCUCUGGACCACUGAAUUCUCUUCCCCUGGUCUUUCCAUGGGGCACAACACAGGGCCCAAAAGAACUCUGCCCUUACCUUCACCCACACCCCCUCUGGAAUCCUCCUGGAAACCAAGAGUUGGUUCAUCAUGGACACCUUUUUAAGGAAGGGAGCCUGCAGGAUGGAAGAAAUUUCAAGUUGAAGCCUGAGAGAAAUUAUCAUCUUACUAUUCUGAGGGUACCCCCAAGAUUGGUAUGUCUGUUUUCUGUGCGUUACCUUACCAGGCAGGUGCACUGGACACAGAACAGAGUAAGUCUGUUUGCUGAAAGGAGCUGCAGUGAGCCCAAUCUUCCUCACUCCCAGGUGCCUUUGCUGGUGUUCCCUAGCUGACCUGGUUGAGCUCUGCACCCCAAACUGGCCUAAACCCUCCUUGCAGUCAGCUGUUCCAACAAAACGUCCUGCUUCUGCGCCUCACUGGUUCCUGGGAAGACUGGCCAUUCUUUUUCCUGACUCCUCCCCAGUCCUCCCCUUUGUGCUUUUCAAGUAUAAAUCUCCCCAGCCU